GACGAACGCUGGCGGCGUGCCUAAUACAUGCAAGUAGAACGCUGAAGGAGGAGCUUGCUCUUCUGGAUGAGUUGCGAACGGGUGAGUAACGCGUAGGUAACCUGCCUGGUAGCGGGGGAUAACUAUUGGAAACGAUAGCUAAUACCGCAUAACAGUAGAUGUUGCAUGACAUUUGCUUAAAAGGUGCAAUUGCCCCACUACCAGAUGGCCCUGCGUUGUAUUAGCUAGUUGGUGGGGUAACGGCUCACCAAGGCGACGAUACAUAGCCGACCUGAGAGGGUGAUCGGCCACACUGGGACUGAGACACGGCCCAGACUCCUACGGGAGGCAGCAGUAGGGGAUCUUCGGCAAUGGACGGAAGUCUGACCGAGCAACGCCGGGUGAGUGAAGAAGGUUGUCGGAUCGUAAAGCUCUGUUGUAAGGGAAGAACGAGUGUGAGAGUGGAAAGUUCACACUGUGACGGUAGCUUAACAGAAAGGGACGGCUAACUACGUG
rnacentral:rRNA from 1 species